UACGUAGGGUGCAAGCGUUAAUCGGAAUUACUGGGCGUAAAGCGUGCGCAGGCGGUUUUGUAAGUCUGUCGUGAAAUCCCCGGGCUCAACCUGGGAAUUGCGAUGGAGACUGCAAGGCUAGAAUCUGGCAGAGGGGGGGGUAGAAUUCCACGUGUAGCAGUGAAAUGCGUAGAGAUGUGGAGGAACACCGAUGGCGAAGGCAGCCCCCUGGGUCAAGAUUGACGCUCAUGCACGAAAGGCGUGGGGAGCAAACAGG
rnacentral:rRNA from 1 species